CGUUGUUUCUUUAAGGAUCUGGGGACUCUAAUUUGCAUGUGUGUUUUUCCGCAGCUUGUUUGCCACUGACAAAAAUUCAUAAAUACAGGCUCAGAGAGUUUAUUAUUGACUUUUGACUGUAAGAGCUCAUUAUUAAAACAAACUUCCCAACUCAGGCUCUGAGAGCUGUGCAAAUUCAUCCUGCAGCAAGAUGUGAAAAGGAUUUCUUCAGAUUGAAGAAAAAUGUCAUUUGGUGGAAACAGUCACAAGGGAAAUACACUCUCCUGAGAAACCCACAAUGGGGUACAGCAAGGAUCAUCAGACUAUGGCCUUUUGGCCCAGAGGAAGAACACACAGUUGAGAUAAAGAGAUGUGUGCCAAGAGAGCCGAAUAUUCGGAUCAGAUGGGAUGCAGAUGAACAUCUGUGCCGAGAAAAGAAAGCCAAGGGUGAUAUUCUUCAACAUUGAAAUAACUGUGCAGAGUUCUCCCCCUGUAAAAGCUCCCUCUUUUUUGCUCUGAAUUUUUCGCUUAAAGAAGUAGCAUCUCUUUGUAUCUGCACUUAAAGCUUGUCUGCCCACUAGUCCGCAGGUGUGUGUUUGUUUCUCGCUUCGGUUUACCAAUCCAAAGGCAUAGGCAAACCUCCUAUUAUAUUUGUAUCCAUGUUUAAAGUGGGCUUGACAGUCAGAUUUUUGCACUGACAGGCGCACAAUAAAAAUCAUGUACUGUUACUGGUUUUCUAGGCA
rnacentral:lncRNA from 12 species